rfam:Saprolegnia parasitica CBS 223.65 unplaced genomic scaffold supercont2.52, whole genome shotgun sequence.
CACCUGGCUUUUUUAAAAGCCACCCACUCUUUGAGAAAGCUCAUCG